GACGAACGCUGGCGGCGUGCUUAACACAUGCAAGUCGAACGGAAAGGCCCUGCUUUUGUGGGGUGCUCGAGUGGCGAACGGGUGAGUAACACGUGAGUAACCUGCCCUUGACUUUGGGAUAACUUCAGGAAACUGGGGCUAAUACCGGAUAGGAGCUCCUGCUGCAUGGUGGGGGUUGGAAAGUUUCGGCGGUUGGGGAUGGACUGGCGGGUUAUCAGCUUGUUGGUGGGGUAGUGGCUUACCAAGGCUUAGACGGGUAGUCGGCAUGAGAGGGUGACCGGCGACAUUGGGACUGAGAGACGGACCAGACUCCAACGGGAGGCAGCAGUGGGGAAUAUGGCACAGUGGGCGGGAGCCUGAGGCGGCAACGCCGCGGGCGUGAUGACGGCCUUCGGGUUGUAAACCGCUUUCGCCUGUGACGAAGCGUGAGUGACGGUAAUGGGUAAAGAAGCACCGGCUAACUACGUG
rnacentral:rRNA from 1 species